UACGUAGGGACCAAGCGUUGUUCGGAUUUACUGGGCGUAAAGGGCGCGUAGGCGACGCGGUAAGUCACUUGUGAAAUCUCUGAGCUUAACUCAGAACGGCCAAGUGAUACUGCAGUGCUAGAGUGUGGAAGGGGCAAUCGGAAUUCUUGGUGUAGCGGUGAAAUGCGUAGAUAUCAAGAGGAACACCUGAGGUGAAGACGGGUUGCUGGGCCAACACUGACGCUGAUGCGCGAAAGCCAGGGGAGCAAACGGG
rnacentral:rRNA from 1 species